GGUUUCUCUGUGUAGCCUUGGCUGUCCUGAAACUCGCUCUGUAGACCAGGCUGGUCUCGAACUCACAGAGAUUCGCCUGCCUCUGCCUCCCGAGUGCUGGGAUUAAAGGCGUGCGCCACCAUCGCCCG
rnacentral:miRNA from 1 species